rnacentral:rRNA from 1 species
GACGAACGCUGGCGGCGUGCUUAACACAUGCAAGUCGAACGAAGUGGCGAACGGGUGAGUAAUACGUGAGUAACCUGCCUUAGACAUUGGGAUAGCCUCGGGAAACCGGGAUUAAUACCAAAUGGUCUAAGAUGGACUCGCGUCCCAUUAGCUAGUGGGUGAGGUAACGGCCCACCAAGGCGACGAUGGGUAGCCGGCCUGAGAGGGUGAACUGCCACAUUGGAACUGAGAAACGGUCCAAACUCUACGGGAGGCAGCAGUGGGGAAUAUUGCACAAUGGAGGGAACUCUGAUGCAGCAACGCCGCGGGCGGGAUGACGGCCUUCGGGUUGUAAACCGCUUUCAGCCAUGACGCGGUAGUGGCAGAAGAAGCACCGGCUAACUACGUGCCAGCAGCCGCGGUAAUAC